rnacentral:lncRNA from 1 species
AUGAUUCACCUUGAAUGUGGCUCCGGUUGGUGCACCGCGCAGGGCACGCCCGAUCGGGACUGCGGAGACGCUGGGAGCUCCGCCUGCUCGCCCAACCCGGCCGGGUCUGGCCCCAAGGGGCCUCGCCGCCCGCCUUCUAUCCCUGCCUCCUGCCCUCAGGCUAGGGUGCUGCUGGCCGAGGUGCGCCCCGACGCCCUGCCACCCCACCGCCCUCUGAGCCCGGAGCUAGCCGAGGUGUCCGACUCCUGGGCGGGGCCUGCUCCGGCCCUGGAUGUCGCAGCCAGAGGAGGAGGCAAGACCCUCACCCCAGGUGGCUGGCCAGGCGAGUCGCGGGGCCUCGGUGUCCCUCUCAGCGCAGCCAAAGAUGGGGCGCGGUGCCCCAGGACCCGGACGGGGUCGUUCAUGGGCUGGGCACAGGGCCCAACAGGCCAAAGCGGGGAGGGGGUCCACAUUAACCCUUCCCCAGCCCUCACGCAUUCCCCCGCCCCCGCCAGAUCUCCCUGAACUUCCCUGGCUGAGCUCCCACCCGCGCCCUACCUGGUCCCCAAGGACCGUGGGAUGCUGGGUGGUAGGGACGCGGUGUGCCAGGGACCGCAAAGCCGAAGCGCAGGCCACACCGGCUGCGAGUGGCGCCUCCGGGUGCCGCGCCCCCUUUAUAGCGCGCGCCCCGCCCCCCGUGCCCGGAGCGCCCCGCCCGGGCCCAUUCACCUGCUGUUGAGAACUAGACACCGCACGGCGCAAAGCGAGCCACCGGGCCGCGCGGUCCGGCCGUCGGGGCUGGCGGGGUGGGGCGCCGCCGAGGCAGAUCCAGUUUCCACCUUUUCUUAAAUGCACUGCUGAAAGUCGAGACGGCCCCGGCCUCGGGAGCCAGCGUUGCUUUCUCCCCCGAUGGCUCCCCGAGCACCCCGACGCCCACAGCCCUAUUCUGGGAGGGGCCGCGAAACUGCACCCGCAAGAGCCUCAUACAUAUUUUAGGAAGCAGGCCCGGCCGGUAACCGGAGCUGGAUCCUGACGGUGAGGGGGCGGCCCCCGGGGACCCGAUACCCCAGAUCCCCUUCGGCUCGAGGCGCAGGCGGGGGAGGAGGUGGCUUGGGACGACCUCAGAUCUUCGUUUAGCUGCCCUGUCCCGCGCACCCUACGCCUGCCUGCAUCCUGACCUCCCUCUGUAGGUCCGACAUCUGUCUGCCCCGAGGCAGCAUCCUCCUCCCCCUAGAGAGACCUUGCCGCCUCACCACCAACAUCCCACUAUGCCCGAAGCUGUACGGCCACGACGCCUAAUUUUGGGUUCCUUGACCCUCGAGUCAGGCUCAGGAAGGACCCCUAAACCUUUAGGAAGGACUGUCUUGCCUACUCCAAAAUGGAAGACUCGGCGCUCCUUGCUCCGUCCCAGGACACUGUCCUUUCUCGCUCCUGAUGUCUUGGCCUGUCUCUCUGGCCACCUUAGUUCUUUUCCGGCCCCUGCCCCACUCUGCUUCCCUAACCCCCAACUUUGCCCUCUCCAUGG